UACGUAGGGGGCUAGCGUUGUCCGGAAUCAUUGGGCGUAAAGCGCGCGUAGGCGGCCUGGUAAGUCCGCUGUGAAAGUCAAAGGCUCAACCUUUGAAUGUCAGCGGAUACUGCCAGGCUAGAGUCCGGAAGAGGCGAGUGGAAUUCCUGGUGUAGCGGUGGAAUGCGUAGAGAUCCGGAAGAACACCGGAGGCGAAGGCGGCUUGCUGGGCGUGAUCUGACGCUGAGGCGCGAAAGCGUGGGGAGCGAACAGG
rnacentral:rRNA from 1 species